GUUUGAACCAAGGAUGAUUUAUAUUUGUGCAGAUAAAAAGGAAAACUGCGCCAGGAAUUUCCGUGACGCCACAUUUUUCUCGCAGCGGCAGCUGCAUCCUUCGCAACUCCGCAUUCAUUUAGGCGAAAUGCAGAGUCUCAAGCAAGAAGGAAGAGAUGCGCUGCCACCCCUUUGCAGCGGACACAAUAUGCCAUGUUAGUAAUUUUCUCGGAAAAUUUGUAAAUUUUUUACUCGACUACAGCAACUCAAAAUGGAUUUUAUAGAAACGAUUAAAAUAUUAAUCAGCCACAGUGAGGGAUCUUUGCUCAAGUGAGAACAC